UUGAAACUACUUUUUUCUUUAAAUAUGUUUCAUUUGUUAAACAGCUUUGUGCUUUAUUAUAAUAAUUUCCAAUUACUUUCGUUUUUUUAUUUUGUUUAUUUACUACUAUUGGUUUACUAAUUACACAUAUAUUUAUCGAUGCGCGCAUGCCAUCGCUUGUUUGCAUUUUCGUGACAUCACUGACAUUUAAAUUCUGUGCUGCAGUUGUUAGAAGUGGUUGUUCGGUUGUGUCAAAAACAGUAUUUACCCGGAAAUAAAUUAAAGUAAACGUAUUGUUUAUACAAAAUCAUAAUAACUGAAAUGUGCGCAAGUGUUUGCAAUUGUAGUUAUUUAAUGUGUGGACACCAAUAAAUCGUAGCAUAAAAGUGGUAAUCGUGGAAUGUACCAAUUCGCUCAUAACCUGCAAUACUAAAUUGUAUAAAGGAAUGCAGGCGAGUUCCAUGUUUGUUGUAUGGAAACGCUGGAGUGGAAGUGUAAAACAUUACCGACGGUUCGUAAAAUGUAAAUUAUACUUUUGUGUGUGCAUUGCAAAGCAUUUUUAUAACAGUAGCCAAAAUGGCUGAAGUGUAACAAGUGUUGUUGUUUGCUUUACAAAAGUGUAGCCAAAACCGCAUUAUUUCACUGCGUAUAUUAUUUAUUUCUUUCGAAAUUAAUGUGUGCAAAAUAUAAAACAAAUAAACGCGCUACAACUGUUUUUUGGAUUUUUUGCCUGCCAGCACUUGAAUUUCGAUGACAAAGGUGGUUUAAAACUGGAAAAAAUAUAAGACGUAAUGCCAGAAACUUUCACAGCAAGCAAUUAAUGUAAUGCUUACAACCAAGGAAUCAUAUAGUUGAAUAACUGAGCGUGGAUCAGCCAUGUACGAG